UACGUAUGGUGCGAGCGUUGUCCGGAAUUAUUGGGCGUAAAGGGCUCGUAGGCGGUUUGUCGCGUCGGGAGUGAAAUCCACUGGCUUAACUGGUGGCUUGCUUUCGAUACGGGCAGACUGGAGGUAUGCAGGGGAGAACGGAAUUCCUGGUGUAGCGGUGAAAUGCGCAGAUAUCAGGAGGAACACCGGUGGCGAAGGCGGUUCUCUGGGCAUGUCCUGACGCUGAGGAGCGAAAGUGUGGGGAGCGAACAGG
rnacentral:rRNA from 1 species